GACGAACGCUGGCGGCGUGCUUAACACAUGCAAGUCGAACGGAAAGGCCCUGCUUUUGUGGGGUGCUCGAGUGGCGAACGGGUGAGUAACACGUUAGUAACCUGCCCUUUACUUUUGGAUAACUUCAGGAAACUGGGGCUAAUACCGGAUAGGAGCUCCUGCUGCAUGGUGGGGGUUGGAAAGUUUCGGCGGUUGGGGAUGGACUCGCGGCUUAUCAGCUUGUUGGUGGGGUAGUGGCUUACCAAGGCUUUGACGGGUAGCCGGCCUGAGAGGGUGACCGGCCACAUUGGGACUGAGAUACGGCCCAGACUCCUACGGGAGGCAGCAGUGGGGAAUAUUGCACAAUGGGCGGAAGCCUGAUGCAGCAACGCCGCGUGCGGGAUGACGGCCUUCGGGUUGUAAACCGCUUUCGCCUGUGACGAAGCGUGAGUGACGGUAAUGGGUAAAGAAGCACCGGCUAACUACGUG
rnacentral:rRNA from 1 species